rnacentral:rRNA from 1 species
GAAGCUAAAGGAUUUAUUCACUUCCCGAGGGGCUCGCGGCCCAUCAGCUUGUUGGUGAGGGUAACGGCCCACCAAGGCGACAACGGGUAGCUGGUCUGAGAGGAUGGUCAGCCACACUGGAACUGAGACACGGUCCAGACACCUACGGGUGGCAGCAGUCGAGAAUCAUUCGCAAUGGGGGAAACCCUGACGAUGCGACGCCGCGUGGAGGAUGAAGGCCUUAGGGUUGUAAACUCCUGUCAAGAGGGAAUAAGCAAGUGAAGGUACCUCUAGAGGAAGGGGCGGCUAAUUCCGUGCCAGCAGCCGCGGUAACACGGAAGCCCCGAGCGUUGUUCGGAUUCAUUGGGCGUAAAGGGUGCGUAGGCGGCGCGGAAAGUCCGGCGUGAAAGGCAGAGGCUCAACCUCUGGACUGCGUUGGAUACUUCCGUGCUUGAGGACUGGAGGGGAGACUGGAAUUCACGGUGUAGCAGUGAAAUGCGUAGAUAUCGUGAGGAAGACCGGUGGCGAAGGCGAGUCUCUGGACAGAUCCUGACGCUGAGGCACGAAGGCUGGGGGAGCGAACAGGAUUAGAUACCCUGGUAGUCCCAGCAGUAAACGAUGUGAGCUUGAUGUGGGGGGAUUCGACCCCUUCCGUGUCGAAGCUAACGCGAUAAGCUCACCGCCUGAGGAGUACGGCCGCAAGGCUAAAACUCAAAGAAAUUGACGGGGACCCGCACAAGCGGUGGAGUAUGUGGCUUAAUUCGAUGCAACGCGAAGAACCUUACCUGGCCUUGACAUGCAUUGUGUCGUCGGUGAAAGCCGGCUAGUCCUGGAAACAGGACGCUUUGCACAGGUGCUGCAUGGCUGUCGUCAGCUCGUGUCGUGAGAUGUUGGGUUAAGUCCCGCAACGAGCGCAACCCUUGUGGUCAGUUACUAUCCGGCUUAGCCGGAGGACUCUGGCCAGACUGCCCUGUCAAACGGGGAGGAAGGUGGGGACGACGUCAAGUCAGUAUGGCCCUUAUGGCCAGGGCUGCACACGUACUACAAUGCCCGGUACAAUGUGAACCGAAACCGCGAGGUGGAGGAAAUCGCUCUUGAAAACCGGGCCCAGUUCGGAUUGGAGUCUGCAACUCG